rnacentral:lncRNA from 1 species
CUCUAGGAUAUUGUGCCUUAGCAACAGUGGAAAUUGCAAUGGUGGAAAACAGCCAGGUAGCUCCAGGUGCCAUUUUCCUUCCAGAACUACUGAAUGCAAGUUAGCCUCAAAUCAUUUCCAAGGUUGAGCGGCAAAACAGACGGGUCCAUUACUCUGUGAAGGGGAGCUCCCUCAAAUGCCUUUCUUCAACUGAUCCAACCAGAAACAUUUAUGCAGAAGUGAAGAUAGAGAAAGUCAGGCAAAGAAGCCAGCUGAUGGCACGAUUUGCUACUGAUGAGCACUAUGGACACCUGGAGUCUCAGAGGGCCAAGACAAGGCAGUCACUCUGUGCAAGUCACUGCUCAAGAUCACGAUGGCAUCCUGGGGAAAGAAUUCUGUGAAGAAACAGGAUUACAAGAGGAACACCC